rnacentral:lncRNA from 1 species
AGAUUUUGCUUAACUUAACAUUUAAACAAGUUUAGUGUAACUAUAACACAGAGCUAAAACCUCUAUUUCUCCUAUUCAACCAUUACUUCACAAUUUCACUUAUCAAGACCUCUGUUUUUACUCAAAAAUCCACUUUAAGUUCUAUCAAAUUACUAAGUUUAAAACAAAAUCCUUUCUCCUACUUAAUAACACCUCAAAACAUCAUCCCCGCAUAAUUUCAAACAAAUACAAACAAUUACAAGUCAUUCAUACCAACAUUCAUCAAACAAUCAUGGAUCAACGAAUAUAUUAUCACACAAUUACA